AUGAACGCUGGCGGCGUGCUUAACACAUGCAAGUCGAGCGAAGCACUAAAGCGGAUUUCUUCGGAUUGAAGGUUUAGUGACUGAGCGGCGGACGGGUGAGUAACGCGUGGGUAACCUGCCUCAUACAGGGGGAUAACAGUUGGAAACGGCUGCUAAUACCGCAUAAGCGCACAGUACCGCAUGGUACGGUGUGAAAAACUCCGGUGGUAUGAGAUGGACCCGCGUCUGAUUAGGUAGUUGGUGGGGUAACGGCCUACCAAGCCGACGAUCAGUAGCCGACCUGAGAGGGUGACCGGCCACAUUGGGACUGAGACACGGCCCAAACUCCUACGGGAGGCAGCAGUGGGGAAUAUUGCACAAUGGGGGAAACCCUGAUGCAGCGACGCCGCGUGAGCGAAGAAGUAUUUCGGUAUGU
rnacentral:rRNA from 1 species